rnacentral:rRNA from 1 species
GUUGGUUCUACCUUAAGUCGGUGYGCUAACCCGCAAGGGAGGCAGSCGYCCACGGUMGGGUCAGCGACUGGGGUGAAGUCGUAACAAGGUAGCCGUAGGUGAACCUGCAGAAGGAUCA